rnacentral:siRNA from 1 species
CGUGAGGCCAAACUUGGCAUA